ACUGAGGGAUGUGGACUUGUGUUUCAAAGUCAGCAACAGAGCGUGAAACAUCCGAGACGGAGUGGUCUCUGGGUGGAAAGAAGUCCCUGCUUCUCUGGGAAAUGAGGUCUAAGGACAGAAGCAGCGUGAUGUUGGCCUCAUAAAAUGAGUUAGAAAGCAUUCCUUCCUCUUCAUUUAUUUGCAGCAAUAUGAGAAGCCCCUGCUGUCUUCAGCCCCGUUCUCUAGGAUGGCCUUUCUCCUCUGUGUUCCUGCUCACCCUGAUGGCUUUCUCUCUGUGAUCGUCCUGAUCCUGGCUGGAUAAUUGGGCUCUUCAGGCUCCACAUACCACUCCCCACCUCCUUGUUGGUUUAACCUCGAGGGGCCCUUUCCCUCAAUGUUUAUAAGCCUCAUUUCUUCCUCUGUGUCCUUCUUGGAGGCAUUUUUGUGGAGAAAACCUGACUUACAGCCCGUGCU
ensembl:lncRNA